UAGAAACAAGAAGGGGGCCAUGAGUAGAAGGAGGAGAGGCUGGGUGACGAUCCAUACUCUCAUGUCCAACAAAACCGUGAGCCAAAAGCCAUUGGAGGUUCAAGGAACCAAACCGGUUCCUUGGCUGUAAGCUAAUACUAUCCCUUCUUGAUAAUGAGCUUGUGUUGUGACUGUGCCUGGUUAUUGUGAUGUGUAUUGAUUAAAAAACCUGAGGAUAAUGUGUGAUUGCUAAAUAAAAUUAGUUGAAUCUGUCCCAGGAUGCUUUAAAGGCUUGUUUAGUGUUUAAAGAGUAAAAUGCUUGCUCCUGUUAAGUAAUGAGUUUGCUAAAUGAAAUGGUAUUGUUUGAAGCUCAUGAACUGAA
rnacentral:lncRNA from 1 species